UAGGGAAUCUUCCGCAAUGGGCGAAAGCCUGACGGAGCAACGCCGCGUGAGUGAUGAAGGGUUUCGGCUCGUAAAACUCUGUUAUUAGGGAAGAACAAAUGUGUAAGUAACUGUGCACAUCUUGACGGUACCUAAUCAGAAAGCCACGGCUAACUACGUGCCAGCAGCCGCGGUAAUACGUAGGUGGCAAGCGUUAUCCGGAAUUAUUGGGCGUAAAGCGCGCGUAGGCGGUUUCUUAAGUCUGAUGUGAAAGCCCACGGCUCAACCGUGGAGGGUCAUUGGAAACUGGGAAACUUGAGUGCAGAAGAGGAAAGUGGAAUUCCAUGUGUAGAGGUGAAAUGCGCAGAGAUAUGGAGGAACACCAGUGGAGAAGGCGACUUUCUGGUCUGUAACUGACGCUGAUGUGCGAAAGCGUGGGGAUCAAACAGG
rnacentral:rRNA from 1 species